CUGACCACUGCGUCAUCACGCUCGCGCGAAGUGAAUGUCUCUCUGAGUGUUGCCAAAUGUUUACAGAGAACAUCUAACACAGUUCCGCCAUUUCCACGUGGCAUUUAAAUUGCAGUCACAGGGAGGGAGUGUGGAUGAAUAAGCCUGUCCAGGUUAUGUUGAGCAUAGCCCAUGACUGCAACUCUAAUUCUGACUGCGGAGUUGAGGAAAUCCUAGGGUUUAAAGUUCACCUCUCAAUGCUCUCAGUUGAAGCUCCAAGGACUCUGAAGUAAACCAGGCAUGAACUCACAGGCACACACGCUUCACUACAGCCAUCGGAGGAGAGAGAUGUAUCCAUCCAGACAGAAGGAGGAGUGGCAGACAUGAUGGACAGAGAACAAGCAAGCAGGUGUUGUUUUUAUGGCUUUCUCCAUCCAGCGAAGGAGAGGAUAACAGGGUCACAGCAUGGAGACCUCAACGACUCCACACCUGGAAUAACACCACCCAGAAUAUCCGCUCCGCUCUGCUUGUGAACCGGUGUGUGUAUGUGUGUGUGUGUGUGUGUGUGUGUGUGUGUGAGGGAGAGGGAGAUGGGAGGAGGAGAGAGGCUUUAUGAAUGAUCGAGAAAAGGAGGUUUUGUGGUACAGUCAAAUCAUUUGUCUUGCUAAUUUAUUUUUCUCUUCCAUUAUUCUCUCUCUCUUUCUCUUUGACACAUACUCAGACACGACUCUGGCCUUUCAUGCGAUGGCCUGCUCUGCAGAAAAGGAAAUAUGAAACACCCUCAGGCAUUUGUCAGCGGUCAGUUGCAUUUUCUUGCUCCUUUACUCAUGUGCGUGUGUGUCUGUUCACUAAGCACAUUUUACACUCACAAACCCCCGUGCGUCACUCUCCCCCCUGACACACUGCGCUGAGGUCUGAUUAAUAAAAGGCGAGUUCUGCGGAAGUAUGACUGUUUGAUCCAUCAGGAAAAGACAGGAUGAAAGAGCAGGAGAGAGUGACGGCAGAGCGAGAGAGGGCAGGGUCCACUCUGAUCAUCCUGGGACCAUACUGUGAAUGGGCCGUUCCCCCAGAGGGAGAGAAAGGGGGGAGAAAGAGAGGGAUGAAGUGAGGACACAGCGCGAGUGAGAGAGAAAGAGAAUUCAUACAUCUACCACUGUUUGAUGCCUGCGGUGUGCCUCUGUAACUAUAGCCCUCUUUCUUUAGCUUGCUCUCGCUCUUUCCCUUCCAUUUCCAGACCUCCCUCCCUCUUACCCCAUCACUCCCUCGUUUUUUUUAUAUCCCUCUUUUUGCCCUCUUCCUGCUGAUCUGUGCCAACCACCAUGAAACCACCGCCACAUUAGAGCCUUUAACAGGCACUGCCUGGCAUCCUGCUCUGUCCAAACAUAUUACAGCCUCAUAGCGAGUGCACAUGUGUGUAUGUGUUUUAUACACUUUCAGAAUUCACAACUAUAGGGUUUCACCGUAUAUUAAGGGCUGGGGGGGAUAUUUUUCAUCCCUACAAAACUGCCACGUGUCAUUGCGGCUCCGAAUAAACUCCAAAGAUGUUGACUGCUUCUAACAGGUUGUGAACGGAGAAGGCGGCAAAUAAAUGGUUUGCAUUCACCAACAGAAAACUUAGAUUAAAGCUGAAGAAUUUACAAGGAAUAUGGUUUGGCCUGAUAUUUAUACAGUGGGAUACUGUUAUUAUUACAUUCCUAGCCUACUCUAUACCUGUACAGUGUUGUAAAAAAUAUAUAAAAUAAUGAUUUUUAACUGUUGCCCCCUCCAUCCCUUCCUCAUUUUUCGAUCCACUCCUUCAUCGGACAACUAUUUAUCAGCCCAUCUGUGCAUCUAUUUAUUGCUCAUAUAUUUGUGGAAAUUAAGACUUGUUGACUUUAUUCUUCCUGUGCACCAGCUGAGAAACUGGCAGUCCUUCACUCAAACCCUCUAAUUGCUCCAGAACAUACACAUUUUGACUCAAUCGACUUGUUAGUGCGUUCAGCGUACUCAUCAUCAGUUGGCCAACACUCCCAGCCUUUCAUCUUUUCACAUGAUCUGACCAUCUGAACACACAUCCAUCGGAGGAUUUUAUGAUUUGUUAAUGAGGCAGUUAGGAAGUCGCCCCCCACACCCCCCACCCACAAGAGGAGGAUGCAGCUGGACGGCGCUGAUCACACCUGCUGACAUCUCGCCAGGACACCAAGGGGAUGCAUGUUUGUUUUCAUGUUGUUCGAUUUAUUAGUAAUGAGAAAAUUUUAA